rnacentral:miRNA from 1 species
UGAAGUAUGAUUCAUUAGUAGACUA